ensembl:lncRNA
GUUUUAAAGCAGCCAGAGUAUCCCUGUUUUUUUUGUUUUGUUUUUUAGAUCUUUUUUUUUUCAGAAUUUUUUUUUCAGGCUAGAUGGAUGAGGAAGGAUGGAGUGGGAGGUGAAGGAAGGUGUUCUUACAGGUGUCUAGUCUCAGGCACGUUGAUGUUGACGUCCUGGAUAGUCUCCUUUUUCUUCUCUUCUCUCUCCUAUGUCUUUGUCUCCUUGUCCUGGAGCUCGUGCCUCAUUUCGUCCAUCUCCGUCUGCCGGUCUUUUUUUUUUUUUUUUUUUUCAGAAUUUUUUUUUUCAGGGUAGAUGGAUGAGGUAGGAUGGAGUGGGAGGUGAAGGAAGGUGUUCUUACAGAUGUCUAGUCUCAGGCACGUUGAUGUUGACGUCCUGGAUAGUCUCCUUUUUCUUCUCUUCUCUCUCCUAUGUCUUUGUCUCCUUGUCCUGGAGCUUGUGCCUCAUUUCGUCCAUCUCCGUCUGCCGGUCCUUUUUUUUUUUUCUUUUCAGAAUAUUUUUUUCAGGGUAGAUGGAUGAGGUAGGAUGGAGUGGGAGGUGAAGGAAGGUGUUCUUACAGGUGUCUAGUCUCAGGCACGAUGAUGUUGACGUCCUGGAUUAUCUCCUUUUCUUCUCUCUCCUAUUUCUUUGUCUCCUUGUCCUGCAUCUUGCGCCUCAUUUCGUCCAUCUCCGUCUGCCGGUCUUUUUUUUUUUUUUUUAAGUAUAGGCAGAUGUUUUCAAGGACUGUUUUGUUGUCCUCUAAUUCUGGGAUCCUGGUGAUAAGGAUCUAAUGUUCUUUGGGGAUGGUAUCCUCUGUUUUUUGGAUCUUAGAGAUCAGGCACAAUACAGUGAACCCACUGCUUGUGACCAUCUCGUUGUGGAUAUCCUCUUGGCUCUUUUUCAAAUUCAAAGAUUUUAUUGUCAAAUAUACCCCCCUUGUGUAUUGAAAUU